CCUACGGGAGGCAGCAGUGGGGAAUAUUGCGCAAUGGGCGAAAGCCUGACGCAGCGACGCAGCGUGAGGGAUGAAGGUCUUCGGAUCGUUAACCUCUGUCAGCAGGGAAGAACGGUCACUGUGCUAAUCAGCAGUGCAUUGACGGUACCUGCAAAGGCAGCACCGGCUCACUCCGUACCAGCAGCCUCGGCAAUACGGCGGGUGCGAGCGUUAAUCGGAAUUACUGGGCGUAAGGCUAUCGUAGGCGGUAUGUCAAGUCAAGGGUGAAAUGCCCGGGCUCAACGUGGGAAGUGCAGUGGAAACUGGCAAACUGGAGUGUGCGGGAGGAUAGUGGAAUUCGAGGUGUAGGAGUGAAAUCCGUAGAUAUCUGGAAGAACAUCAGUGGCGAAGGCGACUAGCUGGAACAUAACUGACGCUGAGGAGCGAAAGCGUGGGUAGCAAACAGGAUUAGAUACCCGAGUAGUC
rnacentral:rRNA from 1 species